rnacentral:lncRNA from 1 species
AUAUCCUUAUGAGUUCUAUCUAUUGUUAGAUAGAACUACAUGAACAGAAGCUCUUUGAGUCCUCAAUCAUUUUUAAGAGUGCAAAGAGGUCUUAAGACCAAAAUGAUCGCAAUCUGCUGACCUACUUUGGGCAAGAUGACAUACUCUCACCUUUUCUGUUCAUUCUCUUUAGCCUUCAGAGCAGACCUGUAAGAGCCUAGAUUUCCAGCGUAUGGAAAGCAAAAAGGAGGCUCAGAGUAAAGCCGCACCUCUAAUAAGGGAUAAAGCUGGGAUUGGACAUCACUUUCUCUGCUCUACCCAUUUUGCUGCACUGUCUCUUAGCAUCCAUUGUGGCAAAAAGAAGUUUUAUGGAAGAGAAAGCAAGCCGCAAACAUUAGAGAUUUUGCAAGAGGCAAGCUUCACUCUCCAAUACUUGCUGAAAAAUAUUCUCUGUGCUCCUCGGUCUCCAAAGAAGGAGACUAAUUUAGUUCAAAAAGAGAGAUCUCUGUCCGCGGCUCAGCCCUGGGUGUCGGGGUUCCAGGCGUCGCUGGGUCUGGGCGCGCCACGUCUGCACAGCGCCCUCUGUUG